GCUUUGCAGCACACACUGGUUGUGAACUUAGCCUCUCGAAUACGUGGGUUACCUGCAUGCAACUUCACAUCUAGAUCUCAUGCUGGGCAUUAUUCAUGAUUCACACAUCUGUCUUCUUUGAGGGAGAGGACCUUUGAUCCAGAGAGACACCUGAGCUACUCUUUAGUAUCUUAAAUGCAGGGAAAGCACGUACGUGCAUGAAGAAGAAAGCGGAGACCAGAAGAAUGGAUUAGAAUUCAUGAGCCAUUUGUUCAGCUUUGAAUUGAUGGAGCCCCGGCUGACUGGAGAGGCCAGAGUGAAAACUAGCUGAGGCCCCUGCAGAAACGGACCGCUCGCUCUUUCUUCCUCUGACAAGGUCUGAGCUGCUGGGCGGCUGGGAAAUGAACAAGUGACCUCCUCACAACACAGUAGAAGGUGUGGCCCCAUUAAAGGUGUCCCUUUCCUCCUCAAGAUCUGGAUUGAAGGAAAGAACACGGCUCAGACGGAUGUGCUGGAGGAAAUGCGCCAGGAAAUCCCAAGCAGGGCCCAAUCAGUCACCAUUAAUGCUCCGAAGGAUCAAAGCUACUUGAAGAAAUACAGCCACUUAUGGAUGGACGGGAAAAUUGAAUUCAUGAAGCCGUGCCUUCUCCAUGGGCGAUUUCCCGGAGCUGAAGUCCUAGAAUUGCACACUGACCCAGAUUUAAUGAGCACAGCUGCCUGGAAGCAUUGCAUGAUGGGACUUCUGGAGGAGGUGUCUGGAACUCCAGUCAAGAUGCUGAGCUGGCAAGGUGCAUGGCAAAGGACCAACCGGCUCCCCCCAAGCCCAUGCCUCAUCCCAGUAAAGUUUUCUGAACUCCUUGGGGAUUUUUCUUAACUGCUCACCUAUAAUAAAAUGUUUUCUGCAACUCA